rnacentral:lncRNA from 1 species
UGAAAAUGGGACUGUCCAGAAUUAAUCUUUCGUCUUGUUUUGCUCUCCUCUUCUGUACACAGACACACUCUGAUUGAGAGAAACACCACCGACCAUUGGGGUAACGGUAUCGUAUUUGGCUAUACUGACAACUACAGAAAGGAGAUGCUGGGCAACGUUCUAGAAUGACAAGGUAUCUUUUUAGUGGGGACUGAAUUUGCCAUCUUACUAGCAAAGAAAGCAGGGGGAACACUGCCAUGGCCUGGUGCUACCAAAUAUUCAUUGGCCAUCUGAAUUUUCAGGCUAGUAUUUCAACUAUCU